GUGAAGAGCCAUUUGGUCCAGGGAACCGGAAGUAGAGGAGGAAGAGCCCGGCAUGCCGGUCAUCUACCUGUGUGCCCGCUCUCAGCAGAGCACUUCACACACCCAGCUGCCUGUCAGGAAAACAGUCUCUCCAGACACCUCGCUCUUUCAGGUAUACCUAGUCAUUGGAGAGACUGGUGUUGUGGCAGGAGACACACAGUGUGUGCCUGGACAUGGUAUGCCCAGCUGUGGCUUCACAUCUUACAAGCACGUGACUUUUGCGACUUACCUGAGUUCUGAGCCUGCGUUUCCCAUCAAUUAUAUGGAGAUAAGGAUAUCUCCUCAAAGUGCUUACGCUUUUAUGAGGACUGUGGAAAUGCAUUCAUGCAACGUCUGAUGCAGCAUUACACAUACAGAUUAGGAAGGGAAAACCAGAGCACAGAACACAGAGAUUGUACAGUAGAGUCUAAUUGGUGUGCAGAGAACUAAUUCGAACCACCGCUUUCUAGAUUGUGAACUUGUAGCCUCCCUGCUCCCCACCACCUCCCUGUCUAGACCAUUGCGCUGAUUUCACAAAAGUGUUUGUUGGACUGUCAAGAAAUGGAGGAAAACGCUUUCCCUCUUGUGUUGGAUUGUGAUAUUAUUGCAGAGGAAGAUCUGGUCAGAGCUGCUCAGGGAGCAUGGAAGGGCGUUGAUGGGCCUCAGCUCCUGACGCUCUGGGCAGUGGGAGGGAUUAUGUUAGUCACGAGAAAAGGACAUCUGCAAAGUGGAAUUAUUUCACUGGGCUUUGGGAAUCAGAACAUCACGGCAGAAAGUGUGUGGUAGAGACAGCGGCUCACCUCAUGACAGCCAAAAGAUGAAGAGGAAAGGGGAUGAAAUACACCCCUCAACAACUUGAUGCCAGUGACCUGCUUCCUCCAACUGCAUGCCCUUCUAAUGUCUCCACCAUUUCUCAAGAGCGCACUCAACUGUGGGAUCCAUAAAUGAGGAGGGAACCACCGAGACCCAAUUUCCUCUCAGGACUCCAUGCCUGAGCUGCCACA